CUUGGUGAGUAUAGCUAUGGGGGUACACCUAGACACAUUCCGAACCUAGAAGUUAAGCCCAUAUACGCAGAAAGUACUUG
rnacentral:rRNA from 1 species